AAAUGAUCAGCUUCAGCAUGCCAUGUGGUUUAAUGCACUCUUUGAGUAUCAUGAUCAAUAAGUAUUUAUUCUUCUUUGAUAGAUUAUAUAACCCACCUGGCAGAAGAAAGAGAAACACUUAGGUCUUGGAGCAUGGAUCAUCUGGAGCAGCAAAAGGGACCUAACUGGAUGAAAGAAGACUGCUGCUCCAGGGGGGAUUGUCUGCAAUUCAUUCCGAGAGAGGGAGAAAGAUGCCUGAACCUCACUAUCAACUAAAGACGGGGAUAUUGACACGCUAUGGAAUAGCAUUCCACCCUAACAAGAAAGGAAAGUCUGAUAUGCUGCCACGUGGAUGAACCUUGAUGACACACUAAGACAAGCCAGUCACAAAAGGACACCUACUGUGGUCUCCGCUAAUCUGAGAUGUUUGCAGGACUCCUCCUCCUCGGUGGCCUGAACUGCAAGACGUGUCUACCCAGCACCAGGAAGACAGUGCUGGAGCCUCCUAGCAGCUGCUUUUGUUUGGUGUCAUGGCAUCUCACUCUUCACAUGCCCAACUUAGAAAUCGAGAAAUGCUUUGAAGAGAAACAACAUGCAGUUUCCACUCUCUUUAGCUCGCUCUUCGCUCUUCUCUGCAUUUACGGCCCAUAAGUCCUGGCAACCUUGGAUCUUGAACUCCAGUUUUUUGCCAACUGUGGCAAGCAAUGAGCUGCCACUUUCUGUUUGAGUUCCAAAUCCCACAGCAGGACCUGCAUCAGCUACUGUUCCCAGAGGA